rnacentral:rRNA from 1 species
AGGCAGCAGUUAGGAAUCUUCCGCAAUGGGCGAAAGCCUGACGGAACGAUACCGCUUGAAGGACGAAGCCCUUCGGGGUGUAAACUUCUGAACUCGGGACGAUAAUGACGGUACCGAGGUAAUAGCACAGGCUAACUCCGUGCCAGCAGCCGCGGUAAUACGGAGGGUGCGAGCGUUACCCGGAUUUACUGGGUGUAAAGGGCGUGUAGGCGGUCUCUCAAGUCCGAUGCUAAAGACCGAAGCUCAACUUCGGGGGUGCGUUGGGUACUGUGAGGCUAGACGGUCGGAGAGGGUAGCGGAAUUUCCGGAGUAGCGGUGAAAUGCGCAGAUACCGGAAGGAACGCCAAUAGCGAAAGCAGCUACCUGGACGAUUUGUGACGCUGAGGCGCGAAAGCGUGGGGAGCAAACCGGAUUAGAUACCCUAGUAGUCC